rnacentral:rRNA from 1 species
AUUGAACGCUGGCGGCAGGCCUAACACAUGCAAGUCGAGCGAGCGGCGGACGGGUGAGUAAUGUAUGGGGACUGCCCGAUAGAGGGGGAUAACUACUGGAAACGGUGGCUAAUACCGCAUACUAUCGGAUACCCCAUAUGGGAUUAGCUAGUAGGUGGGGUAAAGGCUCCACUAGGCGACGAUCUCUAGCUGGUCUGAGAGGAUGCGCAGCCAAACUGUGACUGAUACACGGCCGAGAAUCAUUCGGAGGCAGCAGUGGGGAAUAGUGCACAAUGGGCGCAAGCCUAAUGCAGCCAUGCCGCGUGAAUGAAGAAGGCCGUAGGGUUGUAAAGUACUCUAAGCGGGGAGGCGUUACCCGCAGAAGAAGCACCGGCUAACGCCGUGCCAGCAGCGGCGGUAAGUC